rnacentral:rRNA from 1 species
GGUUAAGUUAGAAAGGGCGCACGGUGGAUGCCUUGGCACUAGGAGCCGAUGAAGGACGGGACGAACACCGAUAUGCUUCGGGGAGCUGUAAGCAAGCUUUGAUCCGGAGAUUUCCGAAUGGGGAAACCCACCACUCGUAAUGGAGUGGUAUCCAUAUCUGAAUACAUAGGAUAUGAGAAGGCAGACCCGGGGAACUGAAACAUCUAAGUACCCGGAGGAAGAGAAAGCAAAUGCGAUUCCCUGAGUAGCGGCGAGCGAAACGGGACCAGCCCAAACCAAGAGGCUUGCCUCUUGGGGUUGUAGGACACUCUGUACGGAGUUACAAAGGAACGAGGUAGAUGAAGAGGUCUGGAAAGGCCCGCCAUAGGAGGUAACAGCCCUGUAGUCAAAACUUCGUUCUCUCCUGAGUGGAUCCUGAGUACGGCGGAACACGUGAAAUUCCGUCGGAAUCCGGGAGGACCAUCUCCCAAGGCUAAAUACUCCCUAGUGACCGAUAGUGAACCAGUACCGUGAGGGAAAGGUGAAAAGCACCCCGGAAGGGGAGUGAAAGAGAUCCUGAAACCGUGUGCCUACAAGUAGUCAGAGCCCGUUAACGGGUGAUGGCGUGCCUUUUGUAGAAUGAACCGGCGAGUUACGAUCCCGUGCAAGGUUAAGCAGAAGAUGCGGAGCCGCAGCGAAAGCGAGUCUGAAUAGGGCGAAUUGAGUACGUGGUCGUAGACCCGAAACCAGGUGAUCUACCCAUGUCCAGGGUGAAGUUCAGGUAACACUGAAUGGAGGCCCGAACCCACGCACGUUGAAAAGUGCGGGGAUGAGGUGUGGGUAGGGGUGAAAUGCCAAUCGAACCUGGAGAUAGCUGGUUCUCUCCGAAAUAGCUUUAGGGCUAGCCUCAAGGUAAGAGUCUCGGAGGUAGAGCACUGAUUGGACUAGGGGCCCCUACCGGGUUACCGAAUUCAGUCAAACUCCGAAUGCCGAUGACUUAUCCUUGGGAGUCAGACUGCGAGUGAUAAGAUCCGUAGUCGAAAGGGAAACAGCCCAGACCGCCAGCUAAGGUCCCAAAGUAUACGUUAAGUGGAAAAGGAUGUGGAGUUGCUUAGACAACCAGGAUGUUGGCUUAGAAGCAGCCACCAUUUAAAGAGUGCGUAAUAGCUCACUGGUCGAGUGACUCUGCGCCGAAAAUGUACCGGGGCUAAACGUAUCACCGAAGCUGCGGACUGUUCUUCGAACAGUGGUAGGAGAGCGUUCUAAGGGCUGUGAAGCAAGACCGGAAGGACUUGUGGAGCGCUUAGAAGUGAGAAUGCCGGUAUGAGUAGCGAAAGAGGGGUGAGAAUCCCCUCCACCGAAUGCCUAAGGUUUCCUGAGGAAGGCUCGUCCGCUCAGGGUUAGUCGGGACCUAAGCCGAGGCCGAAAGGCGUAGGCGAUGGAUAACAGGUUGAUAUUCCUGUACCACCUCCUCACCAUUUGAGCAAUGGGGGACGCAGGAGGAUAGGGUAAGCGCGGUAUUGGAUAUCCGCGUCCAAGCAGUUAGGCUGGGAAAUAGGCAAAUCCGUUUCCCGUGAAGGCUGAGCUGUGAUGGCGAGCGAAUUAUAGUAGCGAAGUUCCUGAUUCCACACUGCCAAGAAAAGCCUCUAGCGAGGUGAGAGGUGCCCGUACCGCAAACCGACACAGGUAGGCGAGGAGAGAAUCCUAAGGUGAUCGAGAGAACUCUCGUUAAGGAACUCGGCAAAAUGACCCCGUAACUUCGGGAGAAGGGGUGCUCUGUUAGGGUGCAAGCCCGAGAGAGCCGCAGUGAAUAGGCCCAGGCGACUGUUUAGCAAAAACACAGGUCUCUGCGAAGCCGUAAGGCGAAGUAUAGGGGCUGACGCCUGCCCGGUGCUGGAAGGUUAAGAGGAGCGCUUAGCGUAAGCGAAGGUGCGAAUUGAAGCCCCAGUAAACGGCGGCCGUAACUAUAACGGUCCUAAGGUAGCGAAAUUCCUUGUCGGGUAAGUUCCGACCCGCACGAAAGGCGCAACGAUCUGGGCACUGUCUCAACGAGAGACUCGGUGAAAUUAUAGUACCUGUGAAGAUGCAGGUUACCCGCGACAGGACGGAAAGACCCCGUGGAGCUUUACUGCAGCCUGAUAUUGAAUGUUGGUACAGCUUGUACAGGAUAGGUAGGAGCCUUGGAAACCGGAGCGCCAGCUUCGGUGGAGGCAUCGGUGGGAUACUACCCUGGCUGUAUUGACCUUCUAACCCGCCGCCCUUAUCGGGCGGGGAGACAGUGUCAGGUGGGCAGUUUGACUGGGGCGGUCGCCUCCUAAAAGGUAACGGAGGCGCCCAAAGGUUCCCUCAGAAUGGUUGGAAAUCAUUCGCAGAGUGUAAAGGCACAAGGGAGCUUGACUGCGAGACCUACAAGUCGAGCAGGGACGAAAGUCGGGCUUAGUGAUCCGGUGGUUCCGCAUGGAAGGGCCAUCGCUCAACGGAUAAAAGCUACCCCGGGGAUAACAGGCUUAUCUCCCCAAGAGUCCACAUCGACGGGGAGGUUUGGCACCUCGAUGUCGGCUCAUCGCAUCCUGGGGCUGUAGUCGGUCCCAAGGGUUGGGCUGUUCGCCCAUUAAAGCGGUACGCGAGCUGGGUUCAGAACGUCGUGAGACAGUUCGGUCCCUAUCCGUCGCGGGCGCAGGAAAUUUGAGAGGAGCUGUCCUUAGUACGAGAGGACCGGGAUGGACGCACCGCUGGUGUACCAGUUGUUCUGCCAAGGGCAUCGCUGGGUAGCUAUGUGCGGACGGGAUAAGUGCUGAAAGCAUCUAAGCAUGAAGCCCCCCUCAAGAUGAGAUUUCCCAUUCCGCAAGGAAGUAAGAUCCCUGAAAGAUGAUCAGGUUGAUAGGUCUGAGGUGGAAGUGUGGCGACACAUGGAGCUGACAGAUACUAAUCGAUCGAGGACUUAACCAA